UACAGAGGGUGCAAGCGUUGUCCGGAAUUAUUGGGCGUAAAGAGCUCGUAGGCGGUUCGUCGCGUCGGCUGUGAAAUCCCGAGGCUCAACCUCGGGUCUGCAGUCGAUACGGGCGGACUGGAGUACUGCAGGGGAGACUGGAAUUCCUGGUGUAGCGGUGAAAUGCGCAGAUAUCAGGAGGAACACCGGUGGCGAAGGCGGGUCUCUGGGCAGUUACUGACGCUGAGGAGCGAAAGCGUGGGGAGCGAACAGG
rnacentral:rRNA from 1 species